CGUGUAGGCUGCUCGGAAAGUCGGAUGUGAAAGCCCUGGGCUCAACCUAGGAAGUGCAUUCGAAACUUCCGAGCUGGGAGUGCUGGAGAGGAAGGCGGAAUUCUCGGUGUAGAGGUGAAAUUCGUAGAUAUCGAGAGGAACACCGGUGGCGAAGGCGGCCUUCUGGACAGUAACUGACGCUGAGACGCGAAAGCGUGGGGAGCAAACA
rnacentral:rRNA from 1 species